UACGUAGGGGGCAAGCGUUGUCCGGAAUCAUUGGGCGUAAAGGGCGCGUAGGCGGCGCGGGCAGUCAACGGUGAAAGCUCAGGGCUCAACUCUGAGUCGGCCGUCGAUACUCCCGCGCUCGAGCUCACUAGAGGCAGAUGGAAUUCCGGGUGUAGCGGUGGAAUGCGUAGAGAUCCGGAAGAACACCGGUGGCGAAGGCGGUCUGCUGGGGUGAGGCUGACGCUGAGGCGCGACAGCGUGGGGAGCAAACAGG
rnacentral:rRNA from 1 species